GAGUUUGAUCCUGGCUCAGGAUGAACGCUGGCGGCGUGCCUAAUACAUGCAAGUCGAGCGGUAAGGCCCUUCGGGGUACACGAGCGGCGGACGGCUGAGUAACACGUAGGAACGUACCCCAAAGUGAGGGAUAAGCACCAGAAAUGGUGUCUAAUACCGCAUGUGCUCUAAGGAGUAAAGCUCCGGCGCUUUGGGAACGGCCUGCGCAUGAUUAGCUAGAUGGUGAGGUAAUGGCUCACCAUGGCGACGAUCAUUAGCUGGUCUGAGAGGAUGAUCAGCCAGACUGGGACUGAGACACGGCCCAGACUCCUACGGGAGGCAGCAGUAGGGAAUUUUCCACAAUGGGCGAAAGCCUGAUGGAGCAACGCCGCGUGCAGGAUGAAUGCCUUCGGGUUGUAAACUGCUUUUAUAUGUGACGAAUAUGACGGUAGCAUAUGAAUAAGGAUCGGCUAACUCCGUGCCAGCAGCCGCGGUCAUACGGAGGAUCCAAGCGUUAUCCGGAAUUACUGGGCGUAAAGAGUUGCGUAGGCGGCAUAGUAAGCAGAUAGUGAAAGCGUGUGGCUCAACCAUACUCACAUUAUCUGAACUGCUAAGCUAGAGGACGAGAGAGGUCACUGGAAUUCCUAGUGUAGGAGUGAAAUCCGUAGAUAUUAGGAGGAACACCAAUGGCGUAGCAGGUGACUGGCUCGUUCCUGACGCUCAGGCACGAAAGCGUGGGGAGCAAACGGGAUUAGAUACCCCGGUAGUCCACGCCGUAAACGAUGGAUGCUAGCUGUUAGAGGUAUCGACCCCUCUAGUAGCGAAGCUAACGCGUUAAGCAUCCCGCCUGUGGAGUACGGUUCGCAAGACUAAACAUAAAGGAAUUGACGGGGACCCGCACCAAGCGGUGGAGCGUGUUGUUUAAUUCGAUGGUAAGCGAAGAACCUUACCCAGGCUUGACAUCCUUGGAAGCACUUGCGAAAGCAGCGUGUGCUUUCGGUAAC
rnacentral:rRNA from 1 species